rnacentral:rRNA from 1 species
GGAUUUUUUCUAAACGMCCGCAGAAUUUUAUCUGUGUUAAGGUAGCAUAAUCAAUUGUCUUUUAAUUGAAGACUGGUAUGAAUGGUUAGACGAAAUUUAACUGUCUCUUAUAUACAAAAUAARAYUUWAUCUYWMAGUCAAAAAGCUUUAAUAUAAUAAAAAGACAAAAAGACCCUAUAGAGUUUUAUUUUUAAACUUUUAUUAAAGUCUAUMAAAAUUUUGUKGGGGCAACUAAGAAAAACAAAAUUUUUCUUUAAUAAUAUUACUUAUAACUUAUCAUUUAUUUAAUACCACAAAGUACAUUACCUUA